CUGUCUAUCUACCCAAACGCCCAUGUCAGAAAUGCCCUCCGGUGCUUCCAUGUAGAAGGGAGAGAAGCACUUUUACAUUUUAGUUCUGCUUGUUAUUUGGAAGUUAUUUUAAAGGUCAUUGAAGUGGGCUUUUUGUUGUUGUUGUUGUUAACAGACAGCUGUUUCCAGCCACUGCUAUGAACCCAUCUAAGUGAAAUUGUGAGGACUAAGGAGAGAGGCACCCAUGACUGCCUUAAUCCACUCCUACCCAUCGUCUCUUCACCCAUCCACCCAUCCUUGCUGCAGACCUUUACUGGGCACCUGUGCCAGGAGACCAUCACUGCCCAUCAGAAGCUCAUACAGGGAGAAGCAGUGGCCACAGCAGAAGGCGUCCCGGGUCCUAGAGAGCACCUGGAGAACAAGGGAGAGCUGCAGAAACCGCCCUGUCUGCAUGUGUGCCCUCAUGUUCUUGGGUGCAUGUCUGUGUUUGUGUGUGUGUUUGCUUAUGUGCAUGUGCAGUGUGUGUGUGUUCGAGACAGAGCGAGACUGAGAGUGCAAGUGGGUGUAAGCACACACACCCACCCGUCAGCCCUGCCUGUCUGCUCAGAGUUUUGCCUGUCACCCGGCCACGCCCUGUGACCCCCCUCCUCGGCUGGGUGCAGCCAGGACACCUGUUGCCAGCUGCGAGCACCUGCCUGGUUGCUGCGCCCGUGUCCUGUGCAUGUUCCAAGCCAGCCCCCUGGGGUAAUCCAGGCCAUGACUCAGGAACGUCAUGUUGGGACACCCGAGACCCCCAGCCCCUGCCCUAGGGGUCAGGGCAGCAGGUCCCAUCUCCCUUAGCUGGGCUGGGCCCAGGCAGCCUGUAUCACUGUUUGCUCCAGAGGCUGGGUGCGUCCUGCUUGGGGGCUGUGUGAGGCCCGCUUGUUUUCACCCACAGAUUCCCAGGGUUCUCAAGGCAGAGGAAAGCGACAAUUAGGGCAACACCCAUGUUGGUUGGAUCAGAGUGAAUCCCAGGCCUGCUUGGGAGGCUUUAGGCACUCAGCUCGGCCAUCUCUGAGGGUAAGGGCAUGUCAGCCACUCUGCUGGGGCAUCUCUGUGCUCAGCACCAUGUGGGCUCAUCACAGACACAAGAGUGCGUCCUCUCAGAGGGAAUGGUCUGGCAGGUUUUGCCUGUUUUCCUGCUCACAGGUUGAAUUUCUUGGCCAGCAUCCCAUAGCCAGGCCAGAGCGGAGCAGGGCUGCCUGCUGCACCCAGUGGCUUCUUGUCAAUCUCGGCCUCUCGUUCCCUGCCUGGGAGAGGGUCUCAGUGUGAAGGGCAGAGGGGUCUUCUGGAACCAGCCAGUGCUGUGUCGGAGAGAAAGACCAGGAGGAAAUUGGAGGGGUACAGGCCUGAAACUCUCCCGCUGCCUUGCCAGGCACCCAAACCUGCUUGACCUGAGUGUCUUUCCGGCGGCGGGUGGGGGGGAGGGGGGUGGGGCGUGCUGCAUCGCUUACUUUGCCUGUGUCUUAGGGGAGCCUACCCAUUGCCCUCCAGCACCGGCGAACAAAGACCCCCACGGUGGCCAGGCCUGUGCGGGGUGUAAACAGUGUCCCAGGGUGUCUUGGUGUCCUCACUACUACAUCCUCCACGUUCCAGAGGAGAAACUGAGGCCCGAGGACACCCAGAAUUUCCCAGGGUCACACCAAGGGGAAACAGGUGACGUUGAAGUGGACACAGGGUGAUGAGAGGGGUGCAGAAAAGGAGAUACCCUGGCAUGCCAAGCCUGGGGCUGGUUGUCCACAUCCAGGAAGGUCCCUGCAAGGUUGUGGCACCUUUUCAUGGCAAGCAGACGCAGCACCAUGAAUACCCACAGCCACUCCUAAGGGCCCCUUCAUGCGGUGGCUGUGCCCAGCACUGGGCACGCAGGAACCAAGGCCCAGAGAGUUCUGGGUGGGUGGGGAGAGCUAGAGCCUUCCUUCUGGGCUCCAGGGCUUUUCAGUAGCACCACUGGCUUUCUAGAAGGUUGCUGUGUGAUUGGAAACUUGUGCUUUGAGAUACGAUUAUCUGUGUGGGGAGGAGGUUGUACUGGAGUCAGCAGUGAGGGGUGGCAGCACUAGGCCAGAAAUGGAUGUGGGGUCCUCUUGCGUGGAGCUGCCACUCCCCCAGCCACUCUGUCCUUACAACCAAAACCCCAAAAGGGGGCUGAGCCGGCCCUUGUGAGUGAGAGUAGAGGAGAAGGAAGGGGCUGUGGGGGGAGAGAAGCACAUGGAGCUGGCCCACGUGGAGAGAGGGACCCUGGGUGGCAGGGUGGCGUUGGGGGAGAUUUGCCAUCAGAGUGACCUUAGUGACUGUGCCACCUCGACCCUGACCUGGGCAAUGCCUGUGAGGGCACUGGGGCCCAAGGUCCCAGAGGAGCAGGGGAACUAAGAUGUGGCUCUCACAGAACCUCAAAUGUAUCUCCAGACAUCCACAUAUCUGCACCUGACACACAUUUCUGGAACAGCUACUUGGCCAAGCACCACCAGUUUGUCUCUAUGCCCCUCUUGCUGGGGAGCCCAGUCUGGGGCAAAGGAAGGCACAGGGGCAUCCGCUCCAGGCUUUCCAGAAUAGGCAGAACACAGAAGGGGUGCCCGCCGGACACGCGGAGGGAGGAGAUGAGAAGAGUCCCCAGCGCCAGAAGGGGUGGAGACGGCCUUGCUGGGGCAGGGCCACAGGUCACCUGCUGCUGGGCUCUGGCUGCAGUGGGAAACAACCAAAGUUUUAAAAAGAGGGUGAACCUCUUAGGAAAGGAAAUGACAUUUAUAAAGAGGUAGGGACGUGGGGGCAGGGAUGAUGGCCUUGGUGGCCACAGCUCUUAAACCAGUGGGGAGGAGGCAGCCACGCCAGCAUGGUGAGAUCCAAGCCGCAGUGACGGGGCUGCACUCGCUCCAGGUAGAUUGCUCAAAUGGAAGCUUCUGGAUGGAUAACUAAGGCAGCACAACCCCCAGUCAUUGUCUGAGGGCCACCCUGGGGGAUGGAGCGAGUGCAGGCCAAGUGGAUGCAGGGCCCACGGCCAGUUUCCAGGGUGAGCUGCAGGGCAAGCCGUGGGAAGCCCCAGAGGCAGACGCUGAGGGAUGGGCACCCCAAGAGAGUCCAGGGAUCCGAGGCCACCUGGGUGGAGCCCGGACAGCGUCUACUCCAGGGAGCAAAGCUGAGGCAGGAGCCGAGGGCUUUCCAGUGGAUGUGGAGACUUCGGCUUACUCCCGCACUGACUUUAUCCCAUUUCUGAGCCUGUCGGCACGUGUAGAGCAUUUUGGGCUCAGUUUCUCUAGAGACUAACUGUGGCCUCCCAUGGGGUGGGGACAGGACAGUCUCCCGGCUGCAUGGAAUGGGAUGCCGACCGAGGGACGGGCUCUCUCUUAAAGACUUGCCACCACACCUCUCUUGUCCAUGCCAGGCUUCUGGGGUCCCCUCUGCUGCAGGUGCUUCGGGAGUCUCAGUGGUUCUUCAGGGCAAAGCUGGCCCUGACCGUGUGCUGCAUGCCCGGAGGUCUGACAUCGGUGCUGCUGAGUGGCCUGCCGUGGUUCUCUUGGUUUCCCAUCUUGCAAAGAGUCGGUGAACUCUCACCUGCUCUUGUCUCCUCGUCUCUGUGCCCUGUCCUCCUGCGGGGCUUGGGAAACCAUAGGUGAUAAACACAUGAGCCAAUCUGCCAUCUCCACUGGAGCCAAUGCUCUUUCUGUGUUCCCAUUGGCCUGCCUAGGACUGAGGUCAGCUCCAGGGUCAGAGGCAGGACUGGAGUUGGGUUCUAACUGAGGCAGAGACAGGGCUUGGGAGAAGAAAUCAAGGUGGAGGGCAGAGGCUCCAGGUCUUUGCCAGGCUCACCUCAGAAGUGGGUGUGUCAGGCUGUCCAGAGUGGAGUGCACAGAAGCUGGGGCUUUGACAAGGGCAGGGUGACCAGUCCAGGCUGGCCUCAAAGGCAAGAGCUUGACUGCAGGGCCAGCAGGCGUGUGAUGUGGGUGGGCCCUAAGGAGGCUGAGGGAGAGGAUAAACUGUGAAGAGCCAGCAGCCCAGAAGCUAAAUGCAGGGAGGCAGAGAAGACAGGAGAGAUGGAGGCUUGCAGGACCUGGUGGUUGGGGAGGGCCAGUGACCAGGUGUUUAGAAGCAGCACCUCCUGUGAUUGGGGCUGAGGGUGAACUCUGCUUUCAAGCAGAGGUGGUUUGUCGUGGGUCUUCCAUGAUGACACCAGGUCAAGGUAGGCUGUUAGCACUGAGGCCUGUGGGAAGGCGAGGCCCGUGGGCAGAGUCCCAGAAUGGGAGGAAAAUGAAGACAGCCACUGCAGGGACUUGGGUGUCAUUCUGAAGGAAGCCACUUAAUGGUAAAUGGAGCAACAACAUGGUAGCCUUUCCUCUGGGGGAGCCCAGAGACAAGGGGGGUCUGGGGAGGCAGGCAGGCAGGCAGGCAGGUCAGGCCAGGGAGGGGCUGUGCCCAGCAGGGAAUGGAUGGCACACUCCCUCCCAGAAAGGCUGCUGCAGGGCUCAGCACUCUGAACCUUAAAAGGUUUACCCAACAGAGCCUCCAGAUGCUCAGAGUCUUGCAGGCUCAGAACAAGAAUUGUCAACUUGCCAAGAUGAAUCUGUCUCUCGGGGGAGGACCCACACAGAACAAACGUUUGAAGCAGAAGUUUGCUUGGUAAACAUGGAAUCGGAACAUGGGAAUUGGGCCACUGGGAUAUUCAAUUGCGUCAGACCAUUGUAGCUGAUACUCCUGGACAGAGGGGCUUUGCCAACUGGACAGAUAUAUGAAGUGUUGCUGACCGAGCUCCUUGCUCUGUGUGGGAGGGAUCUUGCCAGCUCCAGCCUUGGUGGGUCUCCUUUUUCUGUUUCCAAGCUUAAAUAAGCACUUGGCUGUUCUGAUUAGCACUUUUAAAAGCUGUGUUAAUAAGUUCAAUUAAAAUAGAAGAAUCUCUCAUUCUGUCAUAUCGG
rnacentral:lncRNA from 1 species